AUAUUGCUGAGGAGUCCAUAAUAGAACGAAACGGCAGUCCAGUAC
rnacentral:hammerhead_ribozyme from 1 species